AUUGAACGCUGGCGGCAGGCCUAACACAUGCAAGUCGAGCGGUAGAGAGGUGCUUGCAUCUCUUGAGAGCGGCGGACGGGUGAGUAAUGCCUAGGAAUCUGCCUAGUGGUGGGGGAUAACGUUCGGAAACGGACGCUAAUACCGCAUACGUCCUACGGGAGAAAGCGGGGGAUCUUCGGACCUCGCGCCAUUAGAUGAGCCUAGGUCGGAUUAGCUAGUUGGUGAGGUAAUGGCUCACCAAGGCGACGAUCUGUAGCUGGUCUGAGAGGACGACCAGCCACACUGGGACUGAGACACGGCCCAGACUCCUACGGGAGGCAGCAGUGGGGAAUUUUGGACAAUGGGCGCAAGCCUGAUCCAGCAAUGCCGCGUGCAGGAUGAAGGCCUCGGUUGUAAC
rnacentral:rRNA from 1 species